rfam:Brassica rapa chromosome A1, whole genome shotgun sequence.
GAGAGAAGAACAUAUAAGGGCAGCCAAGGAGACUGCCUAAUAUCUUUAUAAGCAAGAUCAUUAGUUGAGAUAACCUAUAUAAAUUCAUCUUUCAAACAUGAUACCAUGACCAUCUUAAUUCUCAAAGAAGUAGGCAAGUCAUCCUUGGCUACCAAAUAUGAUUCUCCUAU